rnacentral:rRNA from 1 species
AGAGUUUGAUCCUGGCUCAGGACGAACGCUGGCGGCGUGCCUAAUACAUGCAAGUCGAGCGGACAGAUGGGAGCUUGCUCCCUGAUGUUAGCGGCGGACGGGUGAGUAACACGUGGGUAACCUGCCUGUAAGACUGGGAUAACUCCGGGAAACCGGGGCUAAUACCGGAUGGUUGUUUGAACCGCAUGGUUCAAACAUAAAAGGUGGCUUCGGCUACCACUUACAGAUGGACCCGCGGCGCAUUAGCUAGUUGGUGAGGUAACGGCUCACCAAGGCAACGAUGCGUAGCCGACCUGAGAGGGUGAUCGGCCACACUGGGACUGAGACACGGCCCAGACUCCUACGGGAGGCAGCAGUAGGGAAUCUUCCGCGAUGGACGAAAGUCUGACGGAGCAACGCCGCGUGAGUGAUGAAGGUUUUCGGAUCGUAAAGCUCUGUUGUUAGGGAAGAACAAGUACCGUUCGAAUAGGGCGGUACCUUGACGGUACCUAACCAGAAAGCCACGGCUAACUACGUGCCAGCAGCCGCGGUAAUACGUAGGUGGCAAGCGUUGUCCGGAAUUAUUGGGCGUAAAGGGCUCGCAGGCGGUUUCUUAAGUCUGAUGUGAAAGCCCCCGGCUCAACCGGGGAGGGUCAUUGGAAACUGGGGAACUUGAGUGCAGAAGAGGAGAGUGGAAUUCCACGUGUAGCGGUGAAAUGCGUAGAGAUGUGGAGGAACACCAGUGGCGAAGGCGACUCUCUGGUCUGUAACUGACGCUGAGGAGCGAAAGCGUGGGGAGCGAACAGGAUUAGAUACCCUGGUAGUCCACGCCGUAAACGAUGAGUGCUAAGUGUUAGGGGGUUUCCGCCCCUUAGUGCUGCAGCUAACGCAUUAAGCACUCCGCCUGGGGAGUACGGUCGCAAGACUGAAACUCAAAGGAAUUGACGGGGGCCCGCACAAGCGGUGGAGCUUGUGGUUUAAUUCGAAGCAACGCGAAGAACCUUACCAGAUCUUGACAUCCUCUGACAAUCCUAGAGAUAGGACGUCCCCUUCGGGGGCAGAGUGACAGGUGGUGCAUGGUUGUCGUCAGCUCGUGUCGUGAGAUGUUGGGUUAAGUCCCGCAACGAGCGCAACCCUUGAUCUUAGUUGCCAGCAUUCAGUUGGGCACUCUAAGGUGACUGCCGGUGACAAACCGGAGGAAGGUGGGGAUGACGUCAAAUCAUCAUGCCCCUUAUGACCUGGGCUACACACGUGCUACAAUGGACAGAACAAAGGGCAGCGAAACCGCGAGGUUAAGCCAAUCCCACAAAUCUGUUCUCAGUUCGGAUCGCAGUCUGCAACUCGACUGCGUGAAGCUGGAAUCGCUAGUAAUCGCGGAUCAGCAUGCCGCGGUGAAUACGUUCCCGGGCCUUGUACACACCGCCCGUCACACCACGAGAGUUUGUAACACCCGAAGUCGGUGAGGUAACCUUUUAGGAGCCAGCCGCCGAAGGUGGGACAGAUGAUUGGGGUGAAGUCGAAACAAGGUA